rnacentral:rRNA from 1 species
UACGUAGGGCGCAAGCGUUAUCCGGAAUUAUUGGGCGUAAAGAGCUCGUAGGCGGUUUGUCGCGUCUGCCGUGAAAGUCCGGGGCUCAACUCCGGAUCUGCGGUGGGUACGGGCAGACUAGAGUGAUGUAGGGGAGACUGGAAUUCCUGGUGUAGCGGUGAAAUGCGCAGAUAUCGAGGAGGAACGACCGAUGGCGAAGGCAGGUCUCUGGGCAUUAACUGACGCUGGAGGAGCGAAAGCGUGGGGAGCGAACAGG